rnacentral:misc_RNA from 1 species
UUUCCGUAGGUGAACCUGCGGAAGGAUCAUUAUUGUAUAACCGAGGUGCGAGGGCUGUCGCUGACCCGAAAGGUCGUGCACGCCCGAGUGCCCUCACACACAUCCAUCUCACCCCUAUGUGCACCACCGCGUGGGUCCCCCUUUGGCUUGUUCGGAGGGGGGCUUACGUUUUCACACAAACUUUGUAUGCAGUGUAGAAUGUAUUUUUUGUUUUUGCGAUCACGCAAUCAAUACAGCUUUCAACAACGGAUCUCUUGGCUCUCGCAUCGAUGAAGAACGUAGC